AACGAACGCUGGCGGCAGGCCUAACACAUGCAAGUCGAGCGCCCAGCAAUGGGAGCGGCAGACGGGUGAGUAACGCGUGGGAACCUUCCCAAUGGUACGGAAUAGCUCAGGGAAACUUGAGGUAAUACCGAAUAAGCCCGAAAGGGGAAAGAUUUAUCGCCAUUGGAUGGGCCCGCGUAGGAUUAGCUAGUUGGUGAGGUAAUGGCUCACCAAGGCGACGAUCCUUAGCUGGUUUGAGAGAAUGACCAGCCACACUGGGACUGAGACACGGCCCAGACUCCUACGGGAGGCAGCAGUGGGGAAUAUUGGACAAUGGGCGCAAGCCUGAUCCAGCGAUGCCGCGUGUGUGAAGAAGGCCUGCGGGUUGUAAAGCACUUUCAGU
rnacentral:rRNA from 1 species